rnacentral:rRNA from 1 species
UCGGUAGGUGAACCUUGCGGAAGGAACAUUU